AUUUAAAUAGUUUAAGAAAAAUUUUGAUUUGUGAUAUCAAAGAUAUAUUGAUAUAUUUUAAAUA
rnacentral:tRNA from 1 species